rnacentral:lncRNA from 1 species
UAUUCUGUCUCUCAAUGUUAAAAUGUACCUAUGAUUAAAAUUAUACACAGUUCCAUUCUUUGUAAGUGGGCAAACCUACAAAAUCAGCAAGGGAUCAAAUAAUUAUUGCUCCCACUAUAUAUAUAUAGGUCCCAUUUAAAUGGCAGUAUUUCUUAAAACUAAGUCACUCAAUAAGAAGGCUGUACAGAGAAGUGCUUCCCAGUACUUGAGGGAAUGGAGUGCAAUGAUUCUUAGCAUGUUCUGCAGUCCCCAGACUCAGAGAAAGGUUUGGACCUUUCUUGGAUUUUUUUGAAUUUUCUGUUGAAAACAGGUUGUAAAGGUAAAACUGGAAAAGGCUCUCACAGCUUUCAGACUGCCAAGAGGAUGGAUGGAAGAUCACUUUUUACCAGUGACACCUCUGCGUCCGAGGUGUACGGUUAUGGACGUCGAGGUCCAAAGACCCGUUGCGUAUCGGCGGGUCCUCCAGGCCCAUGUCAGGGCCAUGGGUGGCCUGGUUCGCCAGGUGCGCCUUAACAGGGCUUGCCAGCGGCAGGUUGCCCUGUUAAGGCGUGAAGUGGAUGAUGUCACCCGCCAGUCCAAGGACUACCGCCGGCAGCUGGAGCAGGCCCUCCAGCAGACGCAGAGCAGCAGCCCGAUCCGGGCCAGCAGCACCAGCACACAGAGCAGGAGGACGAGGAGGAGCAUGAGGAUGCUCCGGGCAAUUAAAAAAAAU